CUGAGAUCCCUGGUGAUAGGUAUUGAAUUUCCUUUGUGAUUACACAACUAGAAAUAAAAUGGAGAUUGCAAUAGCCACAAGAUUUUCACCAAAGGCAGGAGCUGUCCUGGAACUAAAGGUGACAUUCGUGGCUGUGAAACAAUCUCAGGUUCGGGGCCUCCUCCACGGUGGUUGUACGAGUUGACUCUGGGACUGCAGGAAGUGGUUCUGACAGCUCUGAACACCUCUCUCCUCUAACAAUUGAUUCUGCUCUCCUCAACUGAUCAAUCAGCCUUCUCCAGACGCGAUCAGAUGAAAUCUCCACAAGUACCCACUUUUGAUCACUCCCGUAGUCCCUCGCCAGGGCCAGGACUGCUUGUCCAGGAGUGAGGCAUCGAACCUCCUUGUUGUCGGAGCCCUCAGUUGGUCUCAGCCGUUGGUCCUGCAUUCUCUUCCUGAGACUGGAUGAGAUCCAGCCGUGAGCACAGGGGCCGACCCAGGAGCAGCAUAGCUGCAUCUAGGGUCCUUCCAUUCAAUGUAAAAGUCCGACCUUGAUGAGGAGUCAGAGCAGAGUAAAUUCCUAGUCCACGGAAAGUUUAAAACAAGUAUGCAACAGAGAGAAGAAGUGUCAACUGCAAACUGUGCAGCUCUUGAUGGAAACUUACUCAAAUUAGUGCAUCUGCUGAUGACUGGAAAUGUUCAAGUUCAAGGUUAUUGCCAUCUGACUGUUCAUAUAUACAACCACAUGAAACGAGGUAGCUCGCAGCUUCAAUAUGAUGAGAAACUGAUUUAAUACCUUUAGGUCAACGACUCCCCCCAAUUAGGACUGGAAAAGUGAGAAGUCAAGUUUGGAUGCGGAGAGGGAGAAGGCUGGAGAAAACUGUGUGUGCGUCAGUGAUACAGAGCAAACCAAAGUGAUCAGGGUACCAAUUACUUUAAGGAAACAGCAGUUAUGAACUGAAGGGAACAAUAGAACAAAGAGGCACGCAAAUUGCUGGAGGAAGUCAGCGGGUCAUGCAGCAACCCAGAUUGUUUGUCUUCCACAUUUGUUGCUGUAUGCCCUGCUGGAUGUGGUCUUUCAUUGAUUCUAUUGUGUUUCCUGUACUUGUUGAGCUGCUACUGUGUGAUCCAGAAUCUCCGGAGGGGAAGGCCCCGAGUCCUCGGUUUUGCCUGUUGCUCAGCAGCCGGGGCAGGGUCGAAGCACUCGGCAGAGGAUGGUGCUCGGUGUCGGAGGGCUGGUCGGAGGCUCGAAGUUUUCGGACGGACUCAGAGUCCGCUGCAGUCGGGUGCUUCCAGUGGUGAUGCAUCGGCAAGUUUAUGGCGCUUGGAGGUUCAUGGCAGGGAGAGUUUCUCCCUUCUACCGUCUGCGUGAGAUGAUGCGGCUAUCGGGACUUGAGACUUUUUUUCAUCAUGCCCACGGUCUGCUCUUUAUCAAAUUACGGUAUUGCUUUGCACUGUUGUAACUAUAUGUUAUAAUUAUUUGGUUUUGCCAGUUUUAGUCUUGGUUUGUCCUGUGUUUCUGUGAUAUCGCUCUGGAGGAACGUUGUAUCAUUUUUUAAUGCAUGCAUUUCUAAAUGACAAUAAACGAGGACUGAGUAUCCUCGUAAUCUAAUCUAAUCUAAACAAGAAUUGAAAGACUCUUAGCUGGCUACAGAAAGUGUUUACAAGCUGUGAUACUUGCCAAACGGGAUGUUGCUAAG